rnacentral:rRNA from 1 species
UACGGAAGGCAGCAGUGGGGAAUAUUGCACAAUGGGCGCAAGCCUGAUGCAGCCAUGCCGCGUGUAUGAAGAAGGCCUUCGGGUUGUAAAGUACUUUUCAGUCGUGAGGAAGGUGUUAAGGUUAAUAACCUUAGCAAUUGACGUUAGCGACAGAAGAAGCACCGGCUAACUCCGUGCCAGCAGCCGCGGUAAUACGGAGGGUGCGAGCGUUAAUCGGAAUUACUGGGCGUAAAGGGCACGCAGGCGGUUAAUUAAGUUGGAUGUGAAAUCCCCGGGCUUAACCUGGGAAUGGCAUUCAAGACUGGUUAGCUAGAGUCUUGUAGAGGGGGUAGAAUUCCAUGUGUAGCGGUGAAAUGCGUAGAGAUGUGGAGGAAUACCGGUGGCGAAGGCGGCCCCUGGGACAAAGACUGACGCUCAUGUGCGAAAGCGUGGGGAGCAAACAGGGAUUAGAUACC